AGGCUGAUUCAGACACAAGGAAUAACUUGAAAACUCAGAUGUGCUGGCAGCCUCUCUGACUGUGGGUGAAGCUGGCUAUGACGCUGCUGAAGGAACAGGGACCCUACUAGCCAAGCGAGGGAGAGUCCAGGCUUUGAGUGACUCUGGGGUCAAGAGGGGUUCACCCAGGUAACCCCCAGCUAGUUAACCUCCAACCCGAUCCCCUAAGUCCAGGCUGGGUCAUCCCAGGGUGACACAUCCCAGGGAAAGGGGAAAGAAAGAGCAGGUUGGGAGUGACCUGGAAAGUGGCUUUUAGUAGAUGGCCAAUGAAUUAGAUCCAAUUUGAAAAGAUUAAGUUGUUUUGCUCUCAUUUCAGCAAUUGGGUGACUUUAACUUUUUUUUCUUUUUUCAGGACCAGCUUGAGUUUUUCCAGGACACCUCUCUCCGUGCACCUCUUGAUUUGGUUCAAAAGACCAGAAGCACGGACUUCUCUCUGGCAGUGGGAGUGAACCACUCCAUAUGCGAGGCACUGGAGCCCCAAAAGUGUCCCAUAUGCUCCCAAGGAAGGAUUUGCAGAUCCGACAUAACAGCUUAGGAUGCCAAGCUUGGGAGAGGAGAGAUGCCAGGUGAGAGCUGGAGUACCAAGGCCAGGGCCGGGCGCCAGCAGGAUAAUCUGAUGUUGCCGAAGAUAUAGAGGAGGACCUGAUGCCAGAAGCCUGAGGCAGCCAAGGUUCUCCGGGCACAAAGGCUUUGUGACACCUUUCAA
rnacentral:lncRNA from 1 species